AAUGGAAUUAAUAAUAAAUUCAAAUAGAUUAUAAGCCUGACGUAAUUCCUCUCAACUAUCGGCAAUAAUUUGUCUUAUCGAUGCUAUUUUCGUCCUUCCUUGAACUUGUAAAAGCAAACAUUUGCAAGAGGAUCGCAUUUAUCGAAACUGGCCACACCAAUAAAAAAAAACCAUAGCAUUAAUGAUGCGACAAUAAUUGUGACAUGAAUCUUAGCUUAUAUUUUGGUAUAUUAUUCACUUGUUUGGAACAAGCCGGCUAUUAUUUGCUGCGUGUGCGGGCACAUUGUAAAAAUUGCUGUUUUUAAUAGAAAGACUUAAUUAUUUUAUUUCUUACAUUUACAUGAAUGAAUCUGAAGUAAUGUAAGUUGACCAAAUGGAGUACGAUGUCUGCGGCGAACACACCUUCAGGAACUGCUUCACAUGGGCGCCAAACCAGAGUUAAAAUUAAUGACUACAAGUGUGGGCAGCGUUCAUGGGACGUAUGGAAGUUGCUUUCUGCAAGAACAAUGAUAUGGGCCUCCCGAAACUGAACGUGUGCGUCUUGCAGAGGUAACUGGACAUUUCCAAUGUGGUACUAGCAAGGGUUAUAUACACCUUCCAAGCAACAUAAACGGUCAAUUAGGAAGCAAGUGAAUCAACCUGGAGAUGAGAGAGACACUGGUGGGAAUGGAGAAAGACAGAAUAACUUGGAUGAGUCCCGGCCUUAGCAGCGAGACAGCUGGUCUAUCCAGGUUCUUCAGGCAGAACAAUCGUAGCCUGAAGCUGCAAUGCUUAACUAAUGCGCGUCGGUCUCUCAAAAAGCAGAUGCCGCUAAAGCAUUUGAACAAACGCAGAGUGGAUAGCAUGCAUUGCCACAUCCCAAAGCGAGCAUUUUGAUCGCAAUAUUUUCUAAACAUGGUGUUGGCCAUAUCACUAAACUUAGUUGAGGACGAUGUCCAGUUCACGACGGAUUUGCUGCGACUCAUCGAUGAGGAAUGUCUGACUAGUCGCAAUAUGUUGAGUAGCUGCAAUUUGGCCACCAAUUCGACAAAUGCCGAUUGAAAUUCCCCCGUGCUCAUAUUGCACAAAUGUCGCGCUUCAUAGAUCUGAAUAGCUUUAAGAACUCGGAUCUGAUUGGCCUGGUGAAGCGCUAUGUGCUGGAAUUGAAUUUGCUACAGGAAAUUGCCAUCUUUGAACCAUUCAUAGACCCCACCACAUAUCCGCGUUAUGAAGUUCGAGUAAUGGCCUAUAUCGCUAAUGUUUGGCUUGGAUGAUGUCAAAGAACGUGCAAUAUCCGAUUUGGCCUUGCUUGUCAAUGAACACCUCUCACCAGGAUAUGCUGCUAACUUCAGCCAUGCAACGUAUGCGAGAAAACAUUUGCCUCAUAUUCGAAACGCUGCUCAGAAAUAAUUUUGGAUUGAGCAAGGACGCAGACAUCAAAGACAGCUCAGCUUAACUCCAGCGCACAGCUAUUUUAAGCGUAUUCUGCUACACGGCACUCAGGCUUAAGUGUCCAAGUUCCGGAAGGAUUUUGCAGCAUUACUAGUAUUCGAUGAGUGCACCAUGGACCCCUUGCGAGUGCCGCUAAAGUAGCUUCGUCCGCAGAUCAAGUUUCCAUUCCAUUUGGCGAUGGAUUUAAUUAAGUUUUUUAGUACAGGAAACAGGCAACAGAUGGUGACAUUGAGUAAGCAACUAACUUGGUCUAUUUCUGCUUUCUGCUGAUCGCCUGGUAUUUCAAAUACUGACUUGUCAGACUUUCAGUGUCCAACAACAA